GGCCAGUCUCUUCUCUCUCAGCCUAACCUACUUCACAGGGUUGUUGUGAGGAGAAACUAAAGUAUGUAGUACACCACUCUGGGCUCCUUGGAGGAAGAGCGGAAUAUAAAUGUAAAAUAAAUAAAUAAAUAAAUAAAUAAAUAAUCCAACCAAAUGGUAGGCUUCUGCUCGGCUGCCCCUCCCCCACAGUAGCCAUGCAAGACCAACUGCCACAUGAGGCAGGGGAGAGGGAAGCCGGCUUGCAAAGGUGUCUUCACAUCCCUGCUCCUGCUUCAAGCAGAGCUGAACCUUUUCCCAUGCUCAGAGGAACGAAGCAUUUUCCAUGUGCAGGGGUUUUGUUUGCCUGAUAUAUAAAGCUUCUAUUGCAUUUUAUGAACGUUGUGCGCUACUCUGGUGACUCUGGUUCAAAAGCAGGAUUCCUAUCUAUGAAACAAGUUCUAUCCAAGCUGGGUAUGGUCAGUGGAGAGAAAAUAAUUCUGCACAUGCACAGAUGAACUUUGGCUUUUAUUACUAUUUCACACAUCCAGGCUGAGACUUUGCACUGCAACGGGCGCCCUGGCCAGAGAAGAGAGGAAAAUGCUGGGCUGCUGAUAGAGAGAGGAAUGAGGAAAGGUUGUGACAGCCAAGCCAGGAUUUUCACAUAAGCAGAUAAGAUGCUGACAAUCCACAGGAUUACAUUAAGAAAACCCAAGCUUCCAGGGCCAUAGCUAGGGAGAGGGGGCCUGAGUCUGCCCUCUCCCUGCCAGGCCCUCGGAGUGAGGGAGAUAAUGAAGAAAACAGGGAGGGGUGGAGCUGGGGUUAUUUGAACCCAUCCACUCCAUUAUAGCUACACCCCUGCAAGCUUCUCUCAACAGAUUUCUGUUCAACCUGAAACAAAUUCUUAAGAAAGCCAUUAAGUUUAAAAUAUCCAGAGAGUAGAGUACUCAAGUAGUAAGAUAUGCUUGGGUUCUGUAGAUAGCAAAAGAUGCCUGAACUUAAAAAACAAAAGCACCAUCAGUCAGAAGAAUGGGACAAAAUUUCCCACAUAUCACUCUCUAAGCCUGCAAGUAGCAUCAUAUUGGUGUAGGCCUGAACCAGACCGAAGCCAUGUUACCUUUGAUAUAUUCUGUCUGUGUAAGGGGGGCCUAGGGGAUUGCUUAUAAGGAGUUGCUUUUCUGUACCAAGGAGGGCCAGGAGAGACUAGAUAAGGGGUGAUGAGGUAUUCACCUAAAAGAGUACAUGCGCAGAAGUUAGCUGGAAAUUUACUGAAAGUCCAGACAAAGGAAAGGGGCAGUAUCUCCUAGGUUAUAAAUAUGUCAUGCUUGUAAAUGAACGGCGUCUUGGACUUGAGCGAGAGCUAUCCAUGACCGUUGCUACUAUAGAGCAAAUAAAGCCUUUUAUAAUCCUUCUCGGCUGGUGAAGUAUUUGGCUACUGACCCAGAAAAGAACCUCUCUUUGUUGGGGUACAACAAUCUUGGUGCCGUGACUCGGAUUGGGGCCACGUUCCCUACACGGGUGUAGGGCACCACUGGCUCCCACUGGGCGGAAGGAUCCCCGGCGAAUCUGGACCGAAUCGACGCAAGCCGGCUACACCUGCAUUUUGCGGGACGUCGCAUCGUGUCCGGACCGCCUGAGCUCCUCCACAAGCAGUGUGCCAGACAAAAGAGAAGGAAGGCAUUGGUGAGGAAGAAGCACGCAAGGGUUAGAGUCCCAAGGAAUGGGUGAGUAUUGUGCAAGCCUGGACACUACAGACAACGCAGAGUUAGGGUCCUAAUAUAGUCCAGAUGCACAGGGUGGGUUAAUGUCCCACUUGGUUUCAGUCCCACUCAUUGGGUUAGUCCCACCCGCUGGGUUAAUAGUCCCAAGCCCCACAUAGUGAUGGGGAGAGCUCAGAGCAAAACAGGAGGGGAGUCAUGUACCCCGCUGGAAUGUGUUUUAAAGAACUGGCAGGUUCUUACGGGCGGCGACCCGUUGGGGAAGAAGAAAAUGAUUAAUUUUCGUCAAAACUCCUGGCCAUAUCAGAAAAUGGGGCCAAAUGGGAUCCAGAAGGAUCCAAGGACUACCAAAACAUUUUGCAGCUGCUUUUAUUUUGUAGUUAUGGUCUUGAGACCAGCUGAUGAAGGGUUGUGGGUUCUGGAAGACCACAUUGGUCACCGUCGGCAAGGUACCUUCCGGCCCACUAAAAAAAAAUAAUUAAAAAAAUCCCCCACCGUAUGUUUUACUAUCAGAAGAUUAUUCAGUUCUACCUGGGAAGUUUGUUUAAUAUUAUAUGUUCAAAGGUUUAUGGAAUGGAAUUGAAAGAGGGAUGAUUGUAAUUUGCUAAAAUCAUGGUGUCUGUCUCUUGUUUCCAAACUCAAACAGUUGCUGGUUGCUUCAGCUGAGAAAAAGGGGGGAGCAAGGGUGAAACUGCAUGCCCCUCCUCCAGUUUGUUGCUGUUGCUUAAUUAGCUAUUUUUGAGCACUAUGAAAACUCAGUUCUUUCUUCGCUUAUCCUGACCAAGCACUGCUCGGAGAGAUAAAAAGUAGGGAGGAAGGAAGGAGAGAACUUAGGAGAGAAAAGUAAUUCUGGAUGGAAUGUAUUGCAAUGUGGUUUGAACGGAAUAAAGUGGGUUGAGUUGUGAUUUAACUGGCAUGUUGGAAACGGAAUAGUGGGUUGAGUUGUGAGAUUUAUAGCAGAGUCAAGAGGAAAGGUCCUGUUUUGGAUGGUAUAAGGAAUGUGGUCUGAGAUAGGUUGGGGGGAAAAAUGUUGAUUUAUAGACCAUUUUGCUAAUGACUGUGUUUUCUUGGGGUUUUUUGUGUUCCGCUUGACUGGUUAACUUGCUCAUGGGUUAAGCCCUAAACAUGCUUAAAUGUUAUAUCACAGUUUAUUUUGUUUAAAUGCAGUUUAAAAUAUGUAGUUGUUCAUUUGUUGUGUUUUUAAAAUGGUAUUUAAAAUGUGAACUUCCCUGCUUCUCGUCAAAAAUGUUUGUUUAAAUGUUAACUGUGCCUGAUGCUACUUUCAGGGGAGCUGUGUGUGUGUGUUUUUUUUCUGUGUGGGAUUCCACAUUCUGUUAAAAUACAGAGAGUAUUCUGCCACUCAUCCUGGUACAGAAGGGACUUUUGCUGUAUUUGUGAAAGUGUUUUAGUGACUUGCUACAAAUGUACAGUGGUCCCUCGACUUACGUAAAUAAUCCAUUCCGAACGCAUGUUCGGAGGUCGAAAUUUUCGUAAGUCGAGGAGCGCACCACCGAAGUCUGAAAACAUUCGUAAUUCAAGGAAGCCGCAUCUAAACAUUUGUAGGUCGAGUAAGCUGAAUCUAAACCGGCAACUACUUCCGGUCUUUUUUGUUGCUUGUAACUCGAAAACAACGUAAGUUGAGUAGUUCGUAGGUCGAGGGAUUACUGUAUAUGCAGAAGAAAGGGCAAGUUCUGUCCACUCCAUUCUCCCGAUGUCAGGUUGUAUGUGUCCUUCUUGUCAUUCAGAUGCAAUUGUUUUUGCCAAAUGUGAUUUUACACUGUAGUACUGGCCUUCGGUGACUUCUUUAUUUACAAACCUGUAAUACUUUCUUGAGCUAAAGGGAGGCUGGAGAAAAGCCUUGUAUAAAUGUAUACUUUUAAUUUUCUUCACGUUUUCUGUAUGGCCUGUGGCUGUAAUGAAAUUGCUUGAGUGUAAGUGUUUAGGUACACCAAGCAGGUAUAUCGGUUCCUCUAACUUUGUUUAAGUUGUUUUUUUAUAUAGACUAUACAUGGAAAAGUGUCUCCAACAUGGAAUUGGUCAAAUUCAGAGCCAAUGGAGACUAUGUAGAGUGUAGUCUCCCCACUCCAAAUAUUGAGUGAGAAGGAAGAUCUCUGAAUGGCAACUUGUUAUUGUGGGUGAGAAGGAAAAAGGAUUUCAAGUCAAAUAGUCGAAUGGAGUUAUUGUUUUAUAUUUUUGUAAUGUGUAUGAAAUAUUUCUGCUAAUUGAUUUUAAUGUAAACUAAGAGUAUUAUCAAUGGGUCUGAGGCUUAAAAAUUUAUAAAUUUGUCCUACCGCCAGCCCUGCUUUGCUUUCACAGGGAACUUUAGGACUCUAGAUUGUUUAUACCAAGUAGCAGAGAGUUCCAAAGGACCGGUUUGCAUUUUACCUGGAAAACCUCCCAGUUUUAAAAGGGAUCAAGUUUUUGUGUGUUAUCGUAAAACCUACACCCUGUUUUCACAGCUCCUGAUUAGAGAUUUGAUAAUAAAUUGUGUUUAUCACAGGCUUUACUCUUCUGCAAGACUAUGGACAAUCUCUGAUAACAUUUUUUAUUAAAGAAGCCUGUUUGUUUCAUGAGACUCUAAACCUCGCAAAAGAGAUUUUCAACAAGGUAUAGUAUUUUUCCUUGGGGGCAAGGACUGUUUCUUUUAUAUAGGUUUUUAUGAGGAUAUUGUUGCCCUACCAAGCUUGCUAGUGAUGAGGCUGAAGAUGGAGUGCUGGAACACUACCUACACGUGGCUUAGAUGGGGGCAGUGAAAAUCCCAAAGGCCAGAUGUCACUGACGAAUCAUGAAGUCAGAUACACUGGAUGGAGAUUGAUUGCCCUGACAGAAGUCUGUAAGUAUGUAGGCAGCCAGCGUAGUGGUUAGAGUGCUGGGCUAGGGCCGGGGAGGCCUGAGUCUGAAUCCUCAUUCGACCACACUGCUGGGUGACACUGGGCCAGCUACUUAAACAGCCUGGCCUGCUUCGAAGGAUUGUUGUGAAAAGAAAAAACUUAUGUAGUACACGCUCUGGACUUUUCGGGAGAACAGCUGGAUAUUCGAGCACUGGAGUUUAUGUUGUGGCCUCUCAAGAUUGCUCAUCAGGUGAAGUAAAUGAGGACAUCAUCCCCUGUUUUGGACUUCAGGGGGAGAAAAGAGGGCAAGCAGGAAAACAAAAACAUAAAUUGGAAAGAAAAUGCCAAAAGAUCAAAUUGAAAAUAGCCUCAGGUUUAUUUAUUGUAUUGGGCUACGCAGGAACUCAGUUUCAGCAUGUUGUCCCUACCCAGGGGAGGGAAAUUGGUAAUUCAUGCAUCUGUCUUUUAUUUCUAACAUAAGCAGGAUUGCCUUGAACUGUCUCUCCCGAGAGGGAUGUCUUUCUGUCACAGACCAAAGCAGUGGUCAAGUGAGUGAGAGAGGACCUUUCAGAAGGUCCGGCAGUGUGACAGACCGGGCUAACCAUCAUCAGCAACAGCUGCUGCCUGAGGGGGGUUCCCCAUCUGCAUUCCCAGUCCAGGCCAAUGAUGAUGGAACAUCCAUCUGCUGCCCUGUCUUGUGUUCGAGGAAAGGGCCGUGUUGCAGGUUUCUUGUUCCUGAUCCUCCUGCAUCCCAGAGUGCUGUAGUUAAAGAUUUGAUGCCAAAUAUCUGAAGAAGGCCUGAAGGCUAACAGGCCAGCCAGAUAUUGAACUGCUAAAGUAUCUGUUUUGUUGUUUAUUUUUCUAUGAAGUUAUAAGACAUUAUUCCACAUUGCCCACGAGGGGGGAGCCAAGGCUCUCAAGCACAUGGACAUCCGAGCUUGUCUAUGAACACUAGCCAAACAAGCCAAAGCAAUACAAGUGGAUCAGGAGGACAUCCAGGAUAGCCAAAAUCCUGCGACAUUGAACAAGACCAAGGACUCUUGGUUUUUGCAUUCUAGGGCUCUCCAUGGUUUCCUUUGGCCAUGACAGACCUUAAAAGGACACAAAAGGGGGGUGAGAGUUGAUUUGAUCCACUUUUUCAUAGCAACUAUGUACUAUUUAGUCCUUAAAUCCUGACUGAUGUAGUAGUCAGAAUCAGUCUCAGCAAGUGUUAAAGACUGUGGCUGGUGAGUUCAAUUUUAGUGAACAAGGCAAAGUUAAGGACAUGAAUGCUAGGAAUAGGAAUUUGUGUAAUAAUGUGUUGCUGCUUACAAUGUUUUCCUGUAAUAACCACAUGUGCUAUGGAUGUGUGCCACGCUACUAGAGUAGGAAACCCCACAGGCUGAGGAUCAGUUCAUACAAGCCCUCGAUAUGCAAACUCUAUAUUAAAGAAUUAAUAUGUACAAAGAAAGAGGAGGGAAUUGGUGUAGGCCUGAACCAGACCGAAGCCAUGUUACCUUUGAUAUAUUCUGUCUGUGUAAGGGGGGCCUAGGGGAUUCCUUAUAAGGAGUUGCUUUUCUGUACCAAGGAGGGCCAGGAGAGACUAGAUAAGGGGUGAUGAGGUAUUCACCUAAAAGAGUACAUGUGCAGAAGUUAGCUGGAAAUUUACUGAAAGUCCAGACAAAGGAAAGGGGCAGUAUCUCCUAGGUUAUAAAUAUGUCAUGCUUGUAAAUGAACGGUGUCUUGGACUUGAGCGAGAGCUAUCCAUGACCGUUGCUACUAUAGAGCAAAUAAAGCCUUUUAUAAUCCUU